rnacentral:rRNA from 1 species
AUGCAGAGGAGUUUGGGGAAGCUCGAUGGAGGAAGCCGACCACCAUGGAUGGCGCUCGGGAGGUGGGUCGCAGAGAGAAACGACGGGUCGCUCGGAUGGAGGACACAGGCGAGGAGGUCCGGCAAAGGCGGUGCAGACCGGCCGCGGGGCUCGCUGGAGAAGGAGUGGAGGGACGGCAGGAGCUUGGAGCUCGGCGUCCAUGGCAGGAAGAUGAGGCCGGAGGAGGAAGCACAUGGAGGGGCGCAGGGGCACGGCGAUGUUGAUGGCCUCGCGGCCAUGGAGGGCGACGGGCGCGGUCUAGAAGGAGCAGGGCCGACCAAAGCCGGGAGUUGCCGUGGCGAACAAGGCGCGGGCGCCAUGGCGGGGAGGUGGCGGCUUGAUGGGGAGCUCGCGGUGGAUCCUGGCGGCGGCUACGUGACGAGCUCCAGGCGGCGGCGGACACGAAGGAGAGGGAGGACGCGUCGGCGCGGUGGAGAAGGAGGCACGAGGGAGAGGGGCGGCGCCAGAGGAGGACGAAGGGGAGAGAUCAGGGGAUUAAGCGGUGCGGGUGUAGGCGGCGGGCACGGGAGGGAGAGGGAGAGGCUAGGGUUACAGCGGGGGCACGGCUGGGCUGCAGAUGGGCCUUGGAGGCUGGGCCUGGGAGGUCCAAGAGGCCGGCUAGAGCCACUCUCCGUCUCACUUAUUUUCCAUAGCAGAAAAAAUGCAAAGAACGAAAAGGAGUGA